GACGAACGCUGGCGGCGUGCCUAAUACAUGCAAGUAGAACGCUGAAGGAGGAGCUUGCUUCUCUGGAUGAGUUGCGAACGGGUGAGUAACGCGUAGGUAACCUGCCUGGUAGCGGGGGAUAACUAUUGGAAACGAUAGCUAAUACCGCAUAAGAGUAGAUGUUGCAUGACAUUUGCUUAAAAGGUGCAAUUGCAUCACUACCAGAUGGACCUGCGUUGUAUUAGCUAGUUGGUGGGGUAACGGCUCACCAAGGCGACGAUACAUAGCCGACCUGGGAGGGUGAUCGGCCACACUGGGACUGAGACACGGCCCAGACUCCUACGGGAGGCAGCAGGAGGGAAUCUUCGGCAAUGGACGGAAGUCUGACCGAGCAACGCCGCGGGAGGGAAGAAGGUUUUCGGAUCGUAAAGCUCUGUUGUAAGAGAAGAACGAGUGUGAGAGUGGAAAGUUCACACUGUGACGGUAUCUUACCAGAAAGGGACGGCUAACUACGUG
rnacentral:rRNA from 1 species